AAGCCGCGUUCCUCGGACCCAUCUCUUACACAAUAAUGCUUAGAGAAAUACUCACCGAUAAAUCGUUACUCAACCAUUCCUUAUGAAAUGCAGGUGCAAGAAAAUGAGGAGAGGAAGACCCCCACUAAACCGAGCAGCCCGAGAUAAUUCACUUCGGGAGGAUGUAGACAGAUUAUUUGAGAUGAUGGAAGGGUUCAUAGCUGCCCAGCAAGGGCGAGAGGAGAGAAGGGAGUUACCCGACCCUCCUCCACUACUGCAGGUUGAGCCUUCGUUACAGCAGGCUGAUCCUGAGCCACCCCAGCACAAGCCUGCUCCUCCACAGUACCACCCGACACCACUGCCGCAGUACAACCCGGUGCCCCAGCCACGGUACUACCCGACACCGCCACAGUACAGUCCAGUGCCCCCAUCAUAUCAACAGGUGCCGCCAUAGGACCCCCCAGUCUAUCCCCAACCAGGCCCAGUUCCUUUUCCACGGGACCCCGCUCCUUCCUUGAUCGAAUAAGGCUACAUAGAGAGGUACAGAAGACUGAACCCUUCCACCUUUGCAAGGGGAUCCUCUUUUGAAGAUGCCCAGUACUGGCUGGCGGAGACUGAGAGAGCUUUCAGGACCUUGGGAGUAGUUC
rnacentral:lncRNA from 1 species